UGUGAUGAUGAGAUCUGAAGGAAACAAACUUACUACUGAGUGCUGGAAUACUCAGUAAGGUGUUCUGAAGCACA